rnacentral:rRNA from 1 species
AGUGAACGCUGGCGGUAGGCCUAACACAUGCAAGUCGAACGGCAGCACAGUAAGAGCUUGCUCUUACGGGUGGCGAGUGGCGGACGGGUGAGGAAUACAUCGGAAUCUACUUUUUCGUGGGGGAUAACGUAGGGAAACUUACGCUAAUACCGCAUACGACCUACGGGUGAAAGCAGGGGAUCUUCGGACCUUGCGCGAUUGAAUGAGCCGAUGUCGGAUUAGCUAGUUGGCGGGGUAAAGGCCCACCAAGGCGACGAUCCGUAGCUGGUCUGAGAGGAUGAUCGGCCACACUGGAACUGAGACACGGUCCAGACUCCUACGGGAGGCAGCAGUGGGGAAUAUUGGACAAUGGGCGCAAGCCUGAUCCAGCCAUACCGCGUGGGUGAAGAAGACCUUCGGGUUGUAAAGCCCUUUUGUUGGGAAAGAAAAGCAGCAGGUUAAUACCCCGCUGUUCUGACGGUACCCAAAGAAUAAGCACCGGCUAACUUCGUG